GGUGGUUGAAUUCCCCUUCUUGGCAGACUCAGAAUCACCACCGCAAGGCCAAGAGGAUCCACCACUGCACUCCCUAGAUAUUGCCUCUGAUAUGGACUUUGUGGGGCACAGAAAGAGGUCAGAUACAGCGCAGAGGUUAGAGAUAAUGCGAAGAGAGAAAAGAAUGCUUCUAAAGUGAAACGCAUAGCUUGGAAGCACAGUGAUGGAGUAGUUGAUGAAGCGGAGUUGAAUGAGAUGUUUUCUCGCAAAGCUGUGAUUAAUUCUAGUAGUAAUCCCGUUGAUCAAGAGAAUCCUAGGACUGUUAGUUCCUUACUUUCUCGCCUCGUGCAACAGUUUCCUCAGGGAUCCAAUAACCCCUUUUUGGAGUAUGCCAAAUUUGAUGGCACGGUAUGUUAUCUUUACCUUUGUGUAUAUUUUGAUUUAGUAAAUAUUGGAUAUGUUAUGGGACACCAAAUAACUUAUUUUGAGCAUCCUGGUUAGAUUAUAUUAGCUCAAACUGUAUUGUUUUCAGAUACUUUUUUGGGUUUAUUGAGCAAUUCAAUCUUUUAUUGUGGUUUUUGUUGAUGGCCUACAUCUUUUGUCAUGUCCCUUUCAUUAGCCUUUAUUUUGAUAGUGUAACCACUUUUCAUUGUCAAGGAGUUACACCCCCAUCCCCUGGAUCCAU